rnacentral:rRNA from 1 species
CUACGGGGGGCACCAGUGAGGAAUAUUGCGCAAUGGGGGAAACCCUGACGCAGCGACGCCGCGUGGAUGAUGAAGGCCUUCGGGUCGUAAAAUCCUGUCAGAAGGAAAGAAGUGUAUGGUAGCUAAUAUCUGCCAUACUUGACGGUACCUUCAAAGGAAGCACCGGCUAACUCCGUGCCAGCAGCCGCGGUAAUACGGAGGGUGCAAGCGUUGUUCGGAAUUACUGGGCGUAAAGCGCGCGUAGGCGGUUUUAUAAGUCAGAUGUGAAAGUCCACGGCUCAACCAUGGAAGUGCAUUUGAAACUGUAAGACUUGAGUAUUGGAGGGGGUAGUGGAAUUCCCGGUGUAGAGGUGAAAUUCGUAGAUAUCGGGAGGAAUACCGGUGGCGAAGGCGACUAUCUGGCCAAAUACUGACGCUGAGGUGCGAAAGCGCGGGGAGCAAACAGGAUUAGAUACCCCGGUAGUC